CAUUCCAGGAGAUGGUUGUUCCCAUGCUCUUGUCCUAAGAAAUGACAAAAUACACUUUCCUCCACUGUCCUCACAGCUUUGGAGAGAAUGUCACCAUGUGCUGGAGCUAAGGAUGAACUGAUAUGCUGCCAGGAGGCUCCAGCUGUUUACCUGGGCCAGCAUCUGAUCCAGUUGGUCAAUUCACACCAACUGUUGUCAUUGCUGAAUAGCUUGCAUGCAUCUCUUCAGGCUGGGAACUGAGUGGUGACACAGGCAGGAGAAGAAAGGCAGUCCCUGCUUUCCUGGGCUGGUAGGAAUGACGUGACACUGGGGUCCUCGGCAUGGUGUUCCCAGUCUUCGUAGGCUGACCCCAGUCUGCCUCAUCUUCCCCACACCCCUAUAGCACCACUCCACACCCUCCUUUCCGCCACACUGAGCUGGAAGAAUUACGAGCAAUUUACCCCGACAGGUCUUGCUCUCCCAUGCCUGUGCCCUCGCACACACUUUUUCGUCUACCUGGUGGCCCUUCCUCUCCUCUCCUUCACCUAGGCAGUUUACAACCCUUUCAAAACCCAGGAAGCAGGUCUAAGUCCUGUCCUGGGUUUCCAUGUCCCCUCUUGCCACAUCACAUCAUACUCAUUCUUUUUUGCCUUCUCACUCAAGUCCACACUUUUUGAAGGCAACUGACAUUCAUCUGCGGAUUCCUAACACCUAGCACAGUGUCUACCACCCAGUAGAUUAGCAGCAAAUACCUGUGAAAUAAGUAAAUGGGCCAAUAUCAAUGGUUGGAGACCGGUUCACGUAACCUCAGCGAGUCCCUGCCUUCAUGCUGUAGGAAGCACAACACAUUGUUUAAGACAAGGACUUUAGGGUCAGUGUGUGUGGGUUCAGAUCCCAGCUCUGUCACUUAUAAGAUGUCUGAUCUUAGGCAAAACACUUAACCUUUCUCUACCUCAGUUGUUUCAUCUGUUAAAUGCAAUUGUUAUUAAGUUAUUAAUAACAUUAAUGACAAAGAAUCAAUUCAUUUAAUCCUCACUUUGAAUCCAUGUUGGAAACUCCAUAGCAACAUGGAGUUCAGGUGAGGAUUAAAUGAGUUAAUCCACUAAAGCACUUGGUGUAGCGCCUGUUACGUAAGAGCUCAAGAAACAUCAGUUCUGAUUAUGAUCUACCACCCAGAUCCUGAACAACCACUGGGGAGCCUGCAGCCCCUGAUCUGUCAGGGCAGAUCCAUGGAUUCAUUCUGGACAAGGGCCAAGCAAAACCCUCCAUCAGCAUCUUUCCAGUAAAUAGUACUGAGUGUCUGCUUUUGUGCAGCAACACGGCCUAUAGUCAAGAGCCAGACAGUUGUGGUUCCUGCCUUCAUGAGAUGGCAGAAUAACUGGAAGGAGAUAAAUUGAACAUAAUACUUGUGGUGACUCUUACAAGACUGAAGGGUGAGAAUUUAGGGAAGUGGGCACCUAACUUCAGCAGUGGAUACAGACAAGGCUUCUUGGAGGAAAAGCCAUGAGAGUUGAUUCCUCAAAAAGUUGCCAGUGAUGUGGGUGGUGGAGGAGGGAUGGGUGCCUUCCAGGCUGGCUUAGGAGCAAGUAUGAACGUGUGAGCUAUCUCUAGACAUUCUCAAAAGACCCAUCCAGCCAAAGAUGGAUGCCAGGGAGGUCAGUGAGAUCCUGGGACACUUUUCAGGGCCCUGUGGAUCCCUUUAAGGAUUUUGAACUUUGUCUUUAAACACUUUGUCUUAAAACAAAGCCACUGGACGUUGUGGGUAAGCGAGUGGGAGGUGUUGGGAUGACCUCCAUGUUUCUAGUUUGGGAACUAGCAGAGUCGUGUACUAUGUCUUGAAAUGAACGGUUCAGAGGAAGCAUCACAUUUUGGAGGGCAGAUGGUGAGUUUGGGAUACCCAGGGGUGUACUGGUUUCCUACUACUGAUGUAAAAAAUUACCACAAACUAAGUGGCUUAAAACCACUCAUAUUGAUUAUUGUACAGUUUUGAAGAUCAGAAGUGUGACAUAGUCUUAGGCUAAAACCAAGGGGCUGGCAGAGUUGAAUUCCUUCUGGAAUUGAGUUGUAUUCCACAGGGGCAUUUGUCCCUUUUCUUCUCUAUCUUCUAGGGUCUGCCCACAUUCCUUGGCUCAUGACCCUUCACCACUCCGACCUCUGCUUCUGUCAUCACAUCUCCUCUGACUCUGACCCUUUUGCCUCCCUCUUCUGUGGUUCCUUGUGAUGCCCUUGGGCUCACCUGGAUAAUCCAGGACCAUCGCCUUGUCUCAAGAUCCUUAACUUAAUCACAUUGGCAAGGUGUCUUUUGCUAUGUAAAGAUAACUUAUUCACAGGUUUUGAGGACUAAGACAUGGACAUCUUUGAGGGGAAGCGUUGGUCAGUCUAUCAGGUAGAGUUAGGAGUUAAUUUGAUAUGUAAUCUGGAGCUCAGAAAAGAAUGUACAUUAGAGAUAUAAUUUGGAAGUUACUGGUUUCAGUGAAAUAAUUGAGUCAUGUUGGUAGGCAAGAUAACCCAGUACAAUAGCUCCAAGUAAGAUAAGUGAGGUGCAAACUAAGCAUUGAGGUCCUCCUUCAAGUCCAUAAAGUCAUGCAGAGGAAGAAAAGCAAGCAACAGGGAAGUUGAUAUCUCUUGGGGUUCCUUCCUCAAAGUUCUCAGGGACUUGUGUUAUAUCCAUACCUCCAACUUCCCAGGGCCAAGUUCCUGACUGGUCAUACUACAGAUUCCCACAGGCUGCCUGCCAAAAGAGAGCUCCAGCAGGGACCAGAGCCCAUGCAGGGAUCUCACUGCACUCUGCUUUGUAGUCAAUCACUUGCCUUUGCUUGUCUUUCUCCCAACCCACCAGCAGGGUUGGAGAUGUCCUUCUUAGACCCCCAGGCACAUCCAUAGAACAAUGAGUCUAAAGGUCUCCUGUUCUGACUGUCUGGGUCUCCAGCCCCGAGCAAAUGCUGAGAGUCAUUAGCCCAGAUUUUCCAAUCUGCUAUGCUGCUGGCUUUUGAAUCUUAGUCCUUACAUGAAUGUUGAAGUUUUUAGAAAAGAAAGCAUGAAACAGGCAUGAAACACCUGGGAUCACUUUCCCAGCCCUAGAAAUACCAGGACUUGAGGUGAGUGCCUCUUAGAGUUUCUAAUUAAUAAAAUAAUAUUUCUUGCUGUGGGGGUGUAAUACAGGAAAACCUCUUGCCCAAGAGGUGACCCAGGCAGGAAAUGUAAAUAAUUUCGAGAGUUGUAGAUAUAGUCCUAGCUGACAGUCUGGCUGGAAGUCAGUGAGGCAAGGUGUGGAACAUAGGGAUAGUCUUAGUCUUGAAGGGGAGGUGUGGUCUGCAAGCCAUGUGCUAUCAAUCUGCAAUGAGAUAAGUACAUAUAUUGAGAGUAAGCAUUCAGAAGAGUUUUCCAGAAAUUGAUAUGGUCAUGACGUCAAAGUGCAUAAUCAUUUUUCUAGUAAUUCAUUUUGAUUACAUUUUAUAAAAGUAUCCAUUUACAACAGAAUUUUUAAGAACCUGAUCCUUCCUUAGAGAUCAUUUGACAAACACAGGUAUAGAGGAUUUCCACAGCCCAUCCCUCCAAAUUUGACCCUUGUGCAGAGGGAGCACAGAGGUGAUUUGUCCAGUGGGAGUGGGGAGCGGGGCAUUUAGUAGAGAUUGUGCUGAUGUUACAACUCAAACCCUAAGAAUUCAUUUGGCUGGGGUCUAGCUUCAGCUUCAUGGCACACUGAUGCAUGGUAGUAAAUGGUGACCCUUAUUACAUGCCUGUUUUAGCAGGGGGAAAAGUAAAUGCACCCUUCUGUACAGUAUUUCAGAAGGAAGGACCAAUCAUUGUUAUUACUGACUGGCCGGUCCAGAAUUUGGAACUUGCUUUCCUCAGGUUUUUGCUCAUGCUGUUCCUCCCACCCAGCAAGCUCUUCCUAAACCAUCUCCUAUCACCAUGAUGAUUUCUGCAUUCAUUUCAGAGUUAGGCUCUGCAUUUAUUCCUGAGGCGUCUCUCCUGCCUGUCCCCUCCACUCAGCCAAGUUCUUCAUGGCUACUUGCAUGUCUCCUGGAUCACACAGCUAACUGUGCAAUUCGUUGUUUAAUUUUAUAGUUUCACUAAACUGUGAGUUUCCUUGGUACAAAGCUCUAAUCUUUCUUCACUGUUAGGUCCUCAUAGCCCAGCACCCUGCUAGGCACACACACACUAGGUAUUUAAUACAUAUUUGUGAGCAAAGGAAUGGAUGGAUAAAUAAGAAAUGAAUGAGUUAAUGAAUUGAUAUUUUAAUAGCCUCUUCCCCAUAGUUGGAAGUUCUGCUUAGCAGUCUAUUCUCUCACUUUUCUAUCUCUUCCAUACAUUUCAGUGCUGGCUUUGCCAACACUGAAAGAAAACAGUCGACAGGCUAAAGUUCCAACUCCUUGCCAGCAGAUCCUUAUGCCACGCUGUCAUGGGAAAUCUCGACCCCUUGCCACCCCCUUCUGCACCCCUGGCCCUGUGUGUUCACCUCUAGGGAGAUUCAAAGAGGGUGAGCGGCAGCGGUCAUAAUCACUUGCUAUCAUAAUGUAAAUUUGCAAACCUAUGUAAUGUACCAAUCUAAUUUCCUUUGAAAAACAUAUACCCAGAUAGUCUUUAAGUUGUGAACAAUGUUUUGUUUCAUUUUGCAGAUAUUUAAGAAAUGUGAAGCAGGAAUUGUUAAUAACAGGAGGAAAAGAGUGGCCUCUUGUGUAAAGCCCGGAGUGCUGAGCUUGUGUGUGCAUGCAUUUACCGCCAUUAAUGAUAAUAGGAGUUAGGUGCAUAAUGGGUGUUCCUGUAAAUCUAUCCAGAGGAUAAUAUACCCCUUAAUUUAAAAUAGCUGAUAAAGUGUGAAUAAAGGCCUCUCAUCUUUACAACUUCUCAUUUCUAUUAAGAAAGGAAUCACAUAACAUUUUAGGGCUCUCAACUAAUUAACUGUGCAUAUGGAUUUGGAGGGCACGUGCUUUGUGCACAAUAGACUAUUCCCCCAUCUACAUUCAUAGGCGGCGGAAGCUCUGGGGCUGAGAACCCUGGAUGUGAUUGAACUUCAUAGCACCGGCUUUGAUUGGAAGGGGUUGUCUGCUUACCGCUUGUCAAAGGAGAGGAAUCGCUAAAUCAGCGGUAGGGACGGAAGGAAUGGGAACUGAGGCAAACAAGAGAGCUAAAGAAAAGAGAUUACAUCCUUUGGAAGAUUCUAAGUGUCUGCUACAUUGCCUUGAAAAUCUAACACAUGCUGGGAGACCCUGAAACCUGUUCAUAGUGGCAAUUCUACUGUAAAACCUACUUCUUAGAGAUCAACCAUAUGAAAAUCUGGCUGUUUGGAACGUAGAAUGUGCAAAAAAGAACAAAAAAAUUUGAUUCAACAUAAACACAUAAAAAGGUCUAUGUGCUUUCCACUUGCUAUAUUGUAUUUUAUUUGUGAUCCACCCAGCUCUUGAUGUGUGCCAGGCCCUUCUGGCUAAUGUCGACAUUAGUUGAUGUUUGGUCUUUAGCUGUGACAUAUAUAAUUAACAAACAAGAUAAAUAUACACUUUGCCAUUCUGAUAUAAGUGGUGUAAUUAGAUAUUUCUCCUUACAUUCCUUCCUUAGAGAGAUAUUCACAAUCAGCAAAAGGAUGAUUAAAACAACAAACCGAUACAUUUCCAGAAUUCAACAAAAGAAACAAUUUCUGUAAAAGCCACUAAUUCAAAACCAAAGAAAUUGUUUGAUAUGAACACUUAGUAAGCACUCAAUGAAGAUGUGUUCAAUUAAAUGGAAUUGAAUUGAAAAUUCAAAGGAAUCAUUCAUAUUCAAUUCAAAACAGUGCUUUUCAAAUGUCAGGAAGUUGGAAGCUACUCCUUUAUUCACAAUUUCCAUGUAGUUUAGAAAAAAAAAAGUAUUUGUCUUCUAUUAUUUCUUAUUCUUCCCUAUGUAAUUAGAGGAAGGCUAUAAAGUCUUAUUAAGACAAUCUCUAGACUUUUUAAAUUACAUGAACAAUAUAAAGCAAAUAGGCCCUUUUAGGGAGAGGGAUUUUUUUAAAGAUUUGCAUUUCCAGCAGAGCCAUGAGUAACAGAGCCAGUGUCAAGGAGAGUGGAUGCCACCAGCGUUCAAUGAAGAAAUUGUAUGAUCUGCCAUUUAGCAAUUUCACUUCUGUGUCUUUUUUCUCUUCCCUAAACCUACACCCCCAACUCAGUUUCUUUUUUUUUCCUCUGUUGCUGAUCCAGAUGCUCCAAAGAAAUCAAUAUUUGUUGAUUUUAGGACACAGGCAGUAAAUCUGGAGUAUUUUCAGCUUGAAGGUGUUUCUCUCUAACCCUGCUGAAUAACAUGGUGACUUUGCUACUCAGAGUUUAGGUGAGGCAACAUGUGACUCCAAGGCAUGUCUGUAAAAAUGUCCAUGGAGCAAGAAGGAGACUCAUAACGUUGCUUUUUCAAAGUGCAAUAAAACACCCAAAUCUACCAAGAGCUAGUGGGCCCUUGCACAUGACAAUUAAACAUUAACAGCCCCAGGGCCCUGGGAGCAGGGCCCAGCAACCCUUUGAAGCCCUGUUUGCCAAUUAAACACCGUCUGACAUUCGAGUCAAGGUGGCAGGGAUCCAAAGCAGAGAUAGGAACGUCAACCACUUCAGGGGCAUUCAUUAGCUCCCCAGACAUUCCUGGCGUGGCCUGUUUCUUUACUAUUGCCAAAUCCACACCCUGCUCUGGAACUCAGGGGCUCUGAGAAAGUUUACUCAGAUAAGCUUAUUAUGGAAAUAGCACUUUGUCACCGUUUACUACUCACUCCUUGUUCAAUUAUCUUUUAUCUGUUUAGAGUAUUUGCCAGCUCUCCCAAGGUUCCCUGGGAUGAGGCCACUGGAUUGAAAGUCCUCACUGGGGCUGUAGAAGGGGUAGGGGGAGGUACCACUCUGUGCUUGCCUUUCUGGUCCAAGAAUGCUGAGCUCUCUCCAGCAUUUUGGAAACUGCUAAGAGGGUACUAGUAAAAGAUCUUGUAUUUUCUGAUCAUGGGAAAAACUGCCCAACCUUGAGACAGAGACCUAGGUAUCCUGAGGCCCCACAGUCAGCAGAAAGAAGGAUGGUGUGUCAUUUUGAUUAUAAUAGUGAGCAUUUAAUGCAUAUUACUAGGGCAGAAUGAUGAGCAGGGAAUUUCACCUACUCCCUACCACCAUUCAUAUUAGACGCUCUCUCUCCGAAUUUAUGCAUAGCUUUGGAACCAAUAUAAUUGAGGUUUUUGUUGGUGAGCCUCAGUCAAAUCCCAGUCGCCACCAUCACCACGGUUCCUAUUGAGUCAUCUGGUCUAUUAUCGUUGUGGAGUACCAUUUUUGUAUUUUAAUGCCUUCAGAUUGAAUGACUUCUCUAUGGUGAACUCAUCCCAGAUGUCAGGAUGCAUGUUGCAUUUUUGCUGCUGUGAUGGUUUUAAAAUAUGCCCAUAAGUUCUUUGAUACUCCUCCCAUCAAAAGGUAGAGAUUAAUUACCUUUCCUCUGAGUAUGAGCUGAAAUUACUGACUCACUUCUAACCAACAGAAUGUAGUGGCAUCCAAAUUUAGGUAAUACAGGUCAUUGAAGCUUCUGUCCUGCUCUUUCUCUCUUAUUGCUGGCUCUAGUGGAAGCCACUACCAAGCCAUAAGGAAAUGCAAGAAGCCCUGUGGAGAGGUCCCUGUGGAGAGGUUCACAUGGGGAAGAACUGAGGCCUUCUGCCAAAGUCCAUGCAACCGAGCUUAGAUGCAGAUCCUGCAGCCCCACACAAGCCUUAGAUGGUUUGUCCCAGUUGACAGCUUCAGUGCAAUCUCAGCAGAGUCAGGACCACUCAGCUGAUCUGCUCCCAAAUUUGGGAUAAUUUGUUACGCAGCAAUAGAUAACUAAUAUACCUGCCUCAACUAAUUGCCAAGGAACUGCAAAAGGAUCCCAGGCAAGAGUCACCAGACCUUGUUGUUUACAGGCUGUGUGACCUUGGAAGAUUUACUCACCUGCUCUGGACUUCAGAUUUCUCUGUUGAUACUUGCUGUUCUAGUUGAUGUGAGAGUCAGUGAAGUGUUUUUGAGAAAUUAAGAGUUCUCUGAUAUCAUAAUUGUAUUGUUGUCCAGAAUAUCUUCUUCUGCAGUGAUUCCCCCUCUUGCUUUCAUGCUUCAGCUAAAUUAACCAUUUCUCCUCAAAAGAGGCAGCUUCACUUUUGCCCUGUGUAGAAUGUCCUCUCCCUAUUCUAAUUAUCUAAAAAAUGAAAUAUCUCUGUGCAUAAUGUGCUCAGCUGUUCACCUGCAGCACAAUGUCUUUCUGUUCAUUCUUCCUUCUAACAGAACCCAGAUCACUUUCAGAAAGUCACCUGCUCCCAAGCUACUCCUUAUCCCCAGUUCUAAGAGGAAACUUUGAUCGAUUCAAGCCAAUCAGAGUUAUCUCCCUCCCUUUGUCAGUGACUGGUUUAGUAUCUGUCAUGUAAUGCAAUUCUGGCCAAUGCUCUGGGGGAAUUCUGGGAAUGUUUUUCUUGCUUCAGAGAAUGAGAAAAAGACGUUUUUGUUCUUCCCCUGGGCCUUCAUCCUGUCUGGAUUUGGCUCCUGGGACUUCCGUGUCAUUGUACUGCAACCCAAAACUCAGAGGGUGCAGCUGAGAGUCAUUGCAGAGAAGUGGAGCUGGAGUCCUGGCCCCACGGCACCAUAAGCCCGCCCCUGUAAGAAACUCUUAGUACUUGGGACUGCUUUCCUGCCAGAGCCAGUUUGAGUAAGGAUGACCUACUGUGGUUAAAUCAGGCUUCAGAGCCAGGGCAAAUCUCAUCUCCUGCAAGAUGCCUGCAUGGGCCCACCCACCCUUGAAGGCUUUUCUCAGCUUAGAGGUCCUGUGCCUCUGCCUGGGUGGGCAGCUCCAGUGGUCAUCACUGGAUGCACACAGCUUUGUUCCAGUAUUCAAUAUCAAUGCAUCACACCCUCACUUACCACUGCACCCACCACACUGAGAGCCUCAUGGAGAAAGGGCAGAUUAUUAGUGUCUGAAUUCCCCAUACCAGCACCAAUCCUGCACAUGAAUAUGUUCAGUAAGCCCAAAAGGUUCUGUUGAACCUUCCUCUAACCCAGUGGGUACCUACUGACCUAACAGUUCCAUAACUUAGGAAGGCACACAAAUGAUUCCUCACAUAAUAUGCAUCAUUUGUUCUGUGAUAUUGGUUUCUCUGUCUAUUCGGAGAAGCAGCUGGGAUUUUUUUUAAUUGCCAUAUAUUAAUUACUUCAUUAUAAAUGGAUGAAUCCAGGCAACAAAGCCACUUACUUUCUGUUCAAAGCCUCUAUUGGUUAUUUAUUCUUAACUAUGUGAGUUGAAAAUUAUAAUCUACCUACAACAUGUGAGAAUUGAGUAAGAUAAUGCAUGCCAAAACCCAUAGCAUAGUGCAUGGGAAGCAAUCAGAGAUCUAUGAAUUGCAGGGGUUCUACAAAGUGAAUGAUGCCUAAAUAGUAAAUACUAGUGCAAAUCUAGAUAAAUCAAUGGAAAGAGAGAGCCUGUUCACAGGGAUUAGUACUAAGCAAUGAACUAUCCAGAUCUUCACUAAGAAGGGUAAUUAAUUGUGGGGAGUGACUGAGACUUUAUUGGAAGACAUGAAAGGCUGACAUGUAUCAUUGCCCUAUUCUUUGUAACUUCAAUUGAAGGUUUUACUCUCUUAUGAUCAGGUACUGCAAUAAAAUGACUACAAUUUGGAAAUCAAACUUUCUCUUCCAUGUAGUUGCUGAAUGAAAUUUGUCAUUAUUUUUCCAUAGUUGAAUAUACUAUCUGGUUUGUGCUCUUCAUUCUCCCAAAUAGGAAAUUUUCCUGAGCAAGGAGAGUCAAGAGGAUGGCCUCAGAUGUAUGAAGCUCGUCACUAUUAUCCAUAGGGUGCACCUUCCCAAUCUUUAAUGUUUCAAAAGCAUAAGAACUCUCAGAAAGGCCCCCUUUUUGCUUAAAUUGAAAUGAGAAAUUAGUGUUAGUAUUUAAUUCUGCCUUGUAAUCAAUGUUUCCAACUUCCUUCCCUCUCUCUGCCCCCUCAAAAGCAAGUUUAUAACUACCCAACUUUAAACUAAAAGAAUUGUUUCUAUGGGUUAUGAUUGAGAACAGUGUGCCAGAGACCAAGACUGAAGUUGAGAUUGGAUCCCCACAAGAUCAUGUCAUUUUUCACAGAAAAAGGGUUUUAACCCAGAUAUAAUAGGCAACCCCAUGAGCAAAGGUGACCACUGAUCACAUUGGUCAAAGGGGACUGGGCAAGAGUGUGGGGGCUCACAUAGACCUUGACUAUGAGGUCUCAAGAGACAGGCACAAGGCCUGCUUCAUCUCUAACUCUCCACUACACACCCCAUAGUGCCUGAAUCACACAUACUCAGAAAAUGCUGUUGCUCUGAAUCUUCAUUUCCCCAAAGCCAAUGGGAUAUUUAAUGGCUUCGUUAAAUAAAUGUAGAAACUGUGGGUCUCAUAGGAAAUUGAAAUGAAAUUAGAAACAUUUUGAAAUAUGCAUAAACUUUAGAUGUUUCUCUUUAGCCAUAUCAUUCUGAGUGUUAUAUGGAAGUGAAUCUGUAACUGCAGGCAGAGAGAAGAGAAAAAACCUGCUAGUAUUUCUUCCCAUCAAGUAGCAUUUAAAUACACUAAAGAUCACCAAAUAUGCAUGUAUGCCAGCAUACUUCUGAAUCAGUUGUUUGAGGGACCACUUAAAAAAAAUCUAAAGAAUACAAAGCUAUUAAGAACAUACUGGACAAAAAUAUUUUGGGACCUGGAGGAGAUAAAAUACAUAUUCAAUUUAUAGACUCAUCACACUUUGUCACCAAAUCGGGUAGUACCUACAGCUGAGAAGGAACAUUACAAAGUCUUUGUAUUACGGUGCUUCUUUACCUUCUAUUUACAAAGAAAAGUGUUGGAGUAAGACUUUAACUUUAUUAUGGAUAUCAAUUCCUGAAAAAGCUCUGUGAGUUAGUCUCUAGUGCAAAAUUCAAAGCUCAAAAAAUUUACAAGUUUUUUGUUUUUGUUUUUACCAUGAUAAUUUUGAUCAACCAUUGUGGCUGAAAACAAGAAAGACCUUCCUAUGGGAAUCUUUCCUACAACUGCAUUGUUAAACCCAGCCCUAUUUGUUGCAUAGCCAUUCCUUCCCUAUGGGGUUGUAAUGAAACUUUUAUUGUAUGCUGCCAUCUGCUUCAAGGCAAUAUCUCCUCUUUUUAUUAAAAUGUUAGGUGAGCUUUGCACCAGAAUCACAUAUUUAAUUUUUUUAAUAACUGUAGCUUUAUAGUGUUUGAUAUCUGGUAGGGAAAUUCCUUCCCUUCCUUUCUAUUAAAAAAGCAACCAUUUAAAGUAAACUGUAACAAAAAUUUAAAUUAUUUAUCUGUUUAUGUUCCAGAUGAAUUGUCAAAUUAUUUUGUCAUGAUUUUUGAAAUCUUUAUGGAAUUUCUGACAUCAGUAUUGUAUUCAAUCUAUAAAUAGAUUUGGAAGGAAUUGAUACCUUUACAAUAUGUAUUCUUCUCUUUGAAGGAUAUCUAUUUUUACUCACUCGUGUGGGUCCUCCUUUAUAUUUAUAAGUAAAUUAUUUCUUUUUUUGUUCUCAUGCAUUUCUUAUUUAUGUUAUUGUUGGGUAUUUUAUAUUCUUUUGCUAUUAUGAAUACACUAACUUCUUUAUUAUAGCAUCUUCUUUUUGCUGAAAUAUAGGAUAUCCAUAUAUAAUAUUCUAUAAUUUGGCUUUUUGUUGAAUUCUUAAUAAUUGAAAAGAAUUUUCCCUAAUCAUCUUUAGUUUUCUAGGUAGAUAAUUGUAUUUCCAGUAAAUGAGAGCACUGUGCUCCUCCUUCCAAUAUCCUUCCUCUCAAUUCUGUUCCAUGUACUACUGUGCUGGCUGAACCUGUCCACUUCUCUUCCCCACCAAUGCCACUCUUGUCCAAGUUCACGUCAGCUCUCACCUUCACUGAGGCCAGAGCUUCCUGCCAAGUCUACCCUCUUUCCCACUGACAGCCUCCUAGUUUAUUCUCAGUACUGUCACCUGGACAAUCUUCAACAUGAAAUGAUCAUGCCACCUGAAUGCAUCAAAUGUCAAUGUCUUUCUGUUUCUUUCAAGAUAAUGAUGAAGCUCCCUACUAUGGCCUCUAGUGCACAACAUAGCUGGUUCUUAUCUACUUUACCAGCCUCUGCUACCACUGCAAACACCCACCUGUCCAAGCCCCCUCUAACGUGUCAUUUCUAGAACUGUUCUAAGUACCCCUCUUCACCUAGUAAACUCUUAACAUCUUUCCACUUGAGUUUUAGACUCACUUUCUCUGGGAAGCCUUCCUUCUAGAUCAACUCCUUCAGUUACAUAUGCUCAAAGUACCCAUGGAGCUCUCUGCAGCUUUAUCAUUAAUUCUGUUUCACAUGCUACAUAUGAUUACUUAAUGGCUAUCUAUCCCCCUUACAAACUGGAAACUCCAUGAGGCUAGGAACCGUAUAUGUUUUUCACAUCAUUUUGUUCCCAAUGCUUAACAGAAUAUCUGGCACUUUAAUUAGCCAGACUGAUUAAACAUUUGCAAAUACACAACAUCUGCAAAAAAAAGUUAAGUAAUAAUUGUAAUUUUUAUUUUUUCCUUAUUUUGGAAGGAACAUCCAUAGCAUUUCACCAUGAAGUAUGUUUGCAGUCAGCUGCUGAAUUGAACACAGAUAUUCUUUUUCAUGUUAAGGAAGUUUUCUCCAGGUCCUAAAUUAUUGUCUGGCCACAUGGGUACAGAUUGAAGCUUCUGCUCAGGUCAGUCCUUCUGGGCUUAUUUUCUGUCCUCAGCCUCACCUACAGUGCUUUGCUUCUGAUACUGACACUUCUCUAAAGGCAACAUUCUAUAGCCAAUCCUCUUCUAUCAUUUGUCUUUUGUUUUGUUUAAUAUCUCUUACCACAUAGUGAAUGGAAGCUUCUGAUGAGGAGGGUGGAGAGUAGUAAUGCUACAAAAAAAGAUCACCUUUUAAAAAUGGGCUGUAUCGGCUGGGCGUGGUAGCUC
rnacentral:lncRNA from 10 species